rnacentral:lncRNA from 1 species
CGAAGCCAUGGUGGGGAGAAACUGAUUUACCGUCAGCGCUACCCGUGGCUAUAUCCGAUACUACGGGGGGCUGUUUUUAUGUUUCGAGUUAGCUAUAUAUACAAGUGAAUUGUUAUUUAAAAUUUAUUUAAAUAACAUAACAUAAAAUGAGUCACAAAAGUUGUUGUGUUGUUAGUUGUAAGAAUACAGGUAGAAAAAGUGCUUGUCAUUUUUAUAAAUUUCCAACAGCAAGUUGGAAAAUAAAUCAAAGGAAAAAAUGGAUAGCCGCUGAGGAGACAAAAUAUUGAUGGCUCAUUGUGGACUCCAAAGGCACAUGAUUAUAUUUGUAGUGAUCAUUUUAUUGGAGGCCAAAAGUCUGACAUAGAAUCGAGUCCCAGCUACAUUCCUACUAAAUUUCCUACAGUUUAUAAAUCUCAAAAAGUUAAUGAGUUAAUGGUCACGAAUAGAUUUAAGCGCUUAAUGGACCGCCGGCAGAACAAAAAUGCAUCUUCAGCACUCAAUCCUGAGCCUGAAGUUAAUGAAUUGCAAGAAAUGAUUACUGAAGAUCCGCCGACAGUAACUCAUUUGAGAGUUGAUCAAGAGUGUCAA